rnacentral:lncRNA from 1 species
UGCGGGGAUUACUAUACAAAAAAACGGGGGUUUUGGGUCGGGGCGGUCGGAGCGAAAGAGUGAUUUUCCGCCCGGUGCGAGCGCCUCUUGCGGGUGUGCUGUUUCACUCCACGCUGAAACUCAGUCGACAGAUGCCAUUUUUUCGUACCAUUUUUUCGUAUACCAACUUGAGGGACACUUUUUCACGACACACACGAUUGUUUGAAAGUUGACUUUUCACUAGACGUCAUUUGAAUGUGUAGUUCCUAUCUGCAGCCCCCAGUCCUACAGUGUGCAAAAAUAGACAGUUGAAAACAUCUGCUCAUUGAUGCUAAUCUGCACAAUGCCGGCUUCGUCUGUGGACCUUCUUUAGAUGACUCUUGUAUCAUAAAUAUUUCCCUGCUUCAUGGAACAAGGAACAUAGGAUAUCUUAAUGCCAACAAAGUGUCAUUGAACACAUUGUAAAAAGAUGUUGAGAUAUUUGACAAAUCUGUUAUCAUGUUAGUUAAAGUGGCUUUUUUGGUAUUCUUAAAUUAGCAGGAGAAACCUAAAGUUGGAGGAUGAUACAUUUGUUUCUUGUUACCAGUUUUGUAAAACAAAUGCUAAAUUGCUAAAAUGAAACAACAUGUGACCUAUUAGUUAUAAUAAAUUGUUUUCAAAAGUGGAGAUUGAUUCAAAAUCUUCAGCUUCCCAGGCAGAUACCCAACCACAAACCCAUGGGUGAUGGAUGAUGUUCACAGUGGUCAUGACUGUGUUGUAAAUUGGUAUCACUCUUACAAAGCCAAACAGAUUUAGAUCAUGUGUCUACUGUGAAAGAGAUCGUGUGUCUCAAAGAAAACGGCUCUCUCCGUUUGCGACAUCAGAUCUCCCAAGUGUGUCAUUCUGAUCCAGAACUCGUGAAAUGAAGUUGAACGUUUUGAACCAUCUCAGGCCAAAGCUGAAGUUCUAGAGGUAUUAGAAAAGUCUUCGCUUUUUGGUUAGUUUCUUCGUGGUCUUUAUCUGUGGAUCUGAUGCUCGACUAGGGCUCGGCCCCGUGUCCAAUGGGUAGGUAUUUGGGCAAAUGGGUAGGUCUUCUCGGCAAAAAAAUUGGAUCCGGUGGGUAACGGUUCCUAAGACUUUGUGC